rnacentral:rRNA from 1 species
UACGAAGGGGGCUAGCGUUGCUCGGAAUCACUGGGCGUAAAGCGCACGUAGGCGGCUUUUUAAGUCAGGGGUGAAAUCCUGGAGCUCAACUCCAGAACUGCCUUUGAUACUGAGAAGCUUGAGUCCGGGAGAGGCGAGUGGAACUGCGAGUGUAGAGGUGAAAUUCGUAGAUAUUCGCAAGAACACCAGUGGCGAAGGCGGCUCACUGGCCCGGUACUGACGCUGAGGUGCGAAAGCGUGGGGAGCAAACAGG